UGGACCAGGGAUGAUGGUUGGUGGUAUACAAGUCAUGGAUGGUAAAAAUAAGUAUCUAAAACUCUGAGAUCCAA